UGUAGUGUCCGAUACAGCGAAACAGUUCAGAUUGCGGAUACUAUGUUUUGAGGUUUAUGAAAGAAAUCAUUCAAACGAAUCAAUUAGAGAUUCCAAUCACGUACUUUGAUGACUUCUAUGCUGCUUCUUACACGAGACUUAAGUUGGAAGAAAUCAAAGAGGAAUUGUGUCAAUUUUAUAUUCAGCAACUAUUCAUAUAGGACCAGGCCGGGAAACGAUCAAACUUUUGAAGUAUAAUAUUAUAGUACUCUAGGGUGGUUACUAACUUUGUUCAUACUGUUGCCAAU